AGUUGAGCGAGCUUGCCUAGAUGAUUUUAGUGCUUGCACUAAAUGAAACUAGAUACAAGCGAGCGGCGGACGGGUGAGUAACACGUGGGUAACCUGCCCAAGAGACUGGGAUAACACCUGGAAACAGAUGCUAAUACCGGAUAACAACACUAGACGCAUGUCUAGAGUUUGAAAGAUGGUUCUGCUAUCACUCUUGGAUGGACCUGCGGUGCAUUAGCUAGUUGGUAAGGUAACGGCUUACCAAGGCAAUGAUGCAUAGCCGAGUUGAGAGACUGAUCGGCCACAUUGGGACUGAGACACGGCCCAAACUCCUACGGGAGGCAGCAGUAGGGAAUCUUCCACAAUGGACGAAAGUCUGAUGGAGCAACGCCGCGUGAGUGAAGAAGGGUUUCGGCUCGUAAAGCUCUGUUGGUAGUGAAGAAAGAUAGAGGUAGUAACUGGCCUUUAUUUGACGGUAAUUACUUAGAAAGUCACGGCUAACUACGUGCCAGCAGCCGCGGUAAUACGUAGGUGGCAAGCGUUGUCCGGAUUUAUUGGGCGUAAAGCGAGUGCAGGCGGUUCAAUAAGUCUGAUGUGAAAGCCUUCGGCUCAACCGGAGAAUUGCAUCAGAAACUGUUGAACUUGAGUGCAGAAGAGGAGAGUGGAACUCCAUGUGUAGCGGUGGAAUGCGUAGAUAUAUGGAAGAACACCAGUGGCGAAGGCGGCUCUCUGGUCUGCAACUGACGCUGAG
rnacentral:rRNA from 1 species